GAUGAAGAACGUAGCGAAAUGCGAUAAGUAAUGUGAAUUGCAGAAUUCAGUGAAUCAUCGAAUCUUUGAACGCACAUUGCGCCCGCUAGUAUUCUGGCGGGCAUGCCUGUUCGAGCGUCAUUAUAACCCCUCAAGCUCAGCUUGGUGUUGGGGCCUGCUGCACUGGCAGCCCUUAAAAUCAGUGGCGGCGCCAUCUGGCUCUAAGCGUAGUAAUUCUUCUCGCUAUGGAGUCCUGGUGGAUGCUUGCCAUCAACCCCCAAUUUUUCUAUGGUUGACCUCGGAUCAGGUAGGGAUACCCGCUGAACUUAAGCAUAUCAAUAAGCGGAGGA
rnacentral:misc_RNA from 1 species